rnacentral:sRNA from 1 species
CUUCAUCUUCCAUCUUCUUCAUCCAUCAAUCAUCUCUCAUUCUUCAUUCGUCGCUCUCACGCGCCGACAUGAGACAAACGUAUGAUACGCACAAUUCAUCCGAUAUAAAAUCAUUAAUAUAGUGAUAUAUACAAAAAAUGUCCUUGUUCCCUACUUCAUCGCCUCGACGCGCGCGACACGACGUCGGGCAAGACAGCAGGCAGUUAACCUAAAACGAUAUACGGUAUACGGAGCUUAUACCAGCUUUUGGAGGAUGAAGACAGCCUUGCUAUGGAACGCUCAAGAGGAAUAUUCAGACAGCGAUACAUUCGGUGCCAUUGAGACGAAAGCCAGAUUUGCAGCUGUAGACUAUGGGAAUCAACCCAAUUCGCAACCAACGGAAAAGGCAUUGGGGAUCUGUGUGCAGUCCUGGCCCUCGCCAGUGGAAGAGCAACCACCACAAGACUCGAGCUCGGUAGCGAAGUCGACACAUUCGUAGGCCCAUUCACCGCCGGAACCGCUGUUAACGGUACUGCAAAACCAAUCAGCCACUUGAAGCCAUCUACAAUUGUGCUACUUACCAAGCAUGGAGAGACCCAGGGCAAUACAUUCUGUCAAGCUCGGUCUGCGGGUAGAGAGUCUGUUGCUGACGGGCCUGGAGAGUUCGCUUGCCUGCAGGCGACUCAGCGAUGUUCACAUCGUUUCAGCCAUAACAAUUGCGCACCUUUUCCCUUGCUGGCCGUUUGAGAAGGAGAAGACCCUCCUGAACCGCAGCACUCUAUGGAGUAACGUCAACAGACAGUAACAAUAACCUGAUAACCAACUCACGUUUGUGGCUGUCCCAGUUAUCGCAAUCGGGUUCAGGAGCACGAGGGUGAAGAGGCUUGCACUUCUUGAGGGUCUUGUGCCAGAACCAGUUGGUGGGGCAAGUGAUACCACUAGGACAUGAUCCCUUGGGAGGACUGGUGUGCCAAGAGUUGUCGCAACAAGAACUAGAUCGUUGGUGCCACCAUUGAUGGCCGGAACAGCUACCAGCGUUCUUGACACACUUCUUGGUCUUCUCGUUGAAAGUGUAACCUGAGUGCAAUGUCAGAAGUAGUUGACUACACUCAUAAGAAUUAUUCACCUUCUCCACAGUCGCAAGGGGCAACCUCGGUCUGUGGGAUACAGCUUAAACUAAGUCUUGUGCAUGAACCAAUUGAAGGGGCAUGUCAAAUCAGACGAAGGACUGUACCCAAACGUUAACCACUUAUCAAUAUCAUCGCCUAAUCCAACUUACGUGGUCCGAGUAUGAGGGGAAGAGCACAGAGGAUUGUCCAACAAUUGAGUGAAGAAGUCACCAGGGGAAGAACAAGAGUUCCUCUCGGAGACGGAAGCCUUGGCAGUGAUCGAGGUAGAAACACCAACAUUGAUCCUGGUACCCAUCGCCAAGGAGAUUCCGUUGGCAUGGGCAUAAGAAGCGAGACCGAGAAGAGCAAAGAUGUUGCUAACGAGCAUGAUGUCUAACGGUGCUUUUUUAGGGUAGGAAGAAGUGUCGCCUUGGUUGAAAGAAAGAGUGACUGGUAACUUAGAUAUGGUAACCCUAUAAAGAUCUGGAAUAUGGGAGCCUGGUGGCAAGAAUGAGGCGGGAUUCAGGAAGGAAGGAAGGAAAACGGGUCGGUGCUGUGAUGGACGAAUGAAAAUUGAUGAAGAAAGGGGAUGAUUCGGAGAGCAGGAUUGUCUUUAUAUCACAAAACAAAGGGAACAGUCGGCUGAUGAUCAUCUUCCUCAUGCGAGAACGUCCUUUGGAAUUAUCAAAAUAGCGCUCUGGUGCCCGCCACCAAAGGGGUUGUGUCUCAGCGCACUGUCCUCCAUCAAGGGCUAACAAUCUCGACAUCUGGGAACGUCGUGAGCUGUUCGGGGCUUGAAAUUGGUACGCGCAUGGAGAGGGUAGAGGUUGAAGGUGGAGGCACGGCCAAAAGAAAACAAGGCAGCUCCAUUAAGGGAGUCGUAUGUAACCGUCAGGAGCAGUGACAUCCCGCAAUGCAGCAGAAAACAAUCAUUUUGUCGUUGUUCAUAUAGUUCAACUUGAUACAUGUCCCGAGGAUCUGAUGGUCCAGAACAGCGCUUCCGACGGCUCUGUUACUCGGCUCUUUGUCGACGGCGUGUCGUGAUUGUGAGACGUUGUAUGGAAUAAAAAGACAACGAUGAUGGUGUUUCAUCCGUCCUUGCGCCCGGACCUCUUUGAGACGACGCAUAUGCUCGGCGCGCGAGCGGCCGAACCUCGAUCGCGUCACCCUACGGUACCUGUCUUUCCCCUCGGUUGUUUAACAUGAAUGAGAAUCUCCCGACGCAGCAUUCUUUUUGUUAUCGCGUGUAAUUGCAUGGUGCAUAUUGACAUCAUGGCUCAUGGACAAUGGACAGCUCAAUCAUUCUAUCCAAUGCCAACGGGCAUUUCUAUUUGACAACGCCGACGAUGGGUCUCGUAGUAGAUGUUCCGACCGGCUAAAUUCGACCAUGUCUCUCAGCUGCUGAAAUGAGGCUUGAAGAUGCACUAUCGCAUCUCAUCAAGAUAGUAUACCUUCGCACAAUCAAGAGGAAGAUCAAUAAAUAAAUCAGCUGUUCGCUGUCUGUCAUGUCAAUUGGUGGCAAAGAUAUUCCGAUCCGAAUAUUGAUGUACUUCUGCUGCUGGCUGCCUGCUCUCGUACCCCCACCCAGGCCAGUACUACCUGCCAUUAUUUGCUUUGGCCUCUUACCAUGCAUGAUCCUCC